rnacentral:rRNA from 1 species
UACGUAGGGGGCAAGCGUUGUCCGGAAUCAUUGGGCGUAAAGAGCGUGUAGGCGGUCUGGUAGGUCCGCUGUGAAAGUCCAGGGCUCAACCCUGGAAUGCCGGUGGAAACUGUCAGGCUCGAGUCCGGAAGAGGCGAGUGGAAUUCCUGGUGUAGCGGUGAAAUGCGCAGAGUAUCAGGAGGAACACCAAUGGCGAAGGCAGCUCGCUGGGACGGUACUGACGCUGAGACGCGAAAGCGUGGGAGCAAAUAGG